rnacentral:rRNA from 1 species
UACGAAGGGGGCUAGCGUUGCUCGGAAUCACUGGGCGUAAAGGGUGCGUAGGCGGGUCUUUUAAGUCAGGGGUGAAAUCCUGGAGCUCAACUCCAGAACUGCCUUUGAUACUGAAGAUCUUGAGUCCGGGAGAGGUGAGUGGAACUGCGAGUGUAGAGGUGAAAUUCGUAGAUAUUCGCAAGAACACCAGUGGCGAAGGCGGCUCACUGGCCCGGUACUGACGCUGAGGCACGAAAGCAUGGGGAGCAAACAGGG